ensembl:lncRNA
UUGAUCUGAGGAUGGACAUUUAGACAUUGGCGCCAGGUUUGCGCCUGACCAGCGCCACGCAGGGGUGGGUGGAGCAAAGACACAGAGGUGGGCUGCAGGUAUCAUGGGGCACCAGCCAGGGCCUGGGGUGGCUGGGGUGAAGGUGGGUGUUUGGCCAGUGACCAGGAGUCAGGUCAAGUCCAGGAGGUCAGUGCCAGGGGCUCCAGGAGGGGAGGGCAGUGCCAUACCCCUCCUGGUGUCCAAUGUCACCAGGCAGCCAUCACAGAAAGCAACCUUAGCCCGGGGCCCGGGUCUGCAGCAGGUGGGCAGGGUCAGCUUUUCUUCCAUGGCGGGUGGCAUUGCCGGGCCAGAUCCUGGCUCUGGACCCCUGGGCAUGCAAAGGCUAGGGGUGGUGCUGUCAGUCACACUGUCGCUGCUGAGGUCCCCUGGGUUGGCUGAGGCUUGGGAUUCAGGCCGCGGUGGAAGGUCGGACUGCUCAAGGCUGGUAUCUAAGCUUCUGCCCUGGGACCCAGUGGUGAUGGCCACCAUCUGCCCCCAUUUCCACAGGAAGUCCUAGUCAGAGGCCGCACACACAAAAGGGGUACCCGGCCCUGGAGAACCACCAGCCGCCCCGGGUCUGAGAACACUCACCCUGGCCGCUGGGCCAGGCCUGCCAUGUCAUGGCUCCCGGCUGGUCCCACACCCUAAACGGUACAGAGCGCUGCAGGCCCUCACCUCAUGCUUCUGCAGCGCUUGAAGGUGGGGGUGUCUCCAAGGGGACGCUGGCCAGGUGCAUGGAGGGGCCGGCCAAUCUUAGGGCCACAGACCCCCCUGGACAGCAGGGGGUGUUGGCUCCUGCAGUGUGGGCCCGAGAUACUAAGGCACGAAGCUAACCUAAGCCCAGUGGGGUGGGGCGGGGGAGGACAGGCUUGGAGAGCUGCGUCCCAGGCCUGCAAAGCACAGUGACCUAGCAAGGGCGACGGUCUAUCUGGGACAAUUUGGCACAGGAUGGAGGUGCGGGGUGAUCCGGAGUGCCCAUGGCUCUUGCUGGAAGGGGCUCCAUGCCCUGGUCGCCUCCAUGAAGGCCUGUGGUGAGCGGGGAGAGCCCUGGAUGCGGCCGGCACAGCAGCGCAGGCCCAGGGGCCAAUCCAGAGCCAGAGUCUGGGAGUCUGACGCCCGGCUGGGAAGGGCGUGUGACGAUGCCAAGGUGCCGGAGCCGUCGCCGGCAGGUCCUCCUCCGCGGGGAUCUUAAGGAAGCAGCAGGAAUGAGGAGAGGAGAGCGGGCGGAGGACCUGAGAGCUCAGGCGCCCUCGGGCAGGCGGCCUCAGGUGGGCUGGCGGCCUCGCGCUUCAGGGGUGUCUGCGCAGGCCGGGCGCGAGGGCCGGGCGCAUGAGGUUCUCGGUGAUGUAGGCCACCAGCAGGCAGAUGACCACCAGCAUGACGCAGAUGGAGCCGCCCACCGCCGUCAUGGCCACCACGAUGUCCUGCAUGCCGGCCGGCUCGGCGGUGAACUCUACGCACUCGGCGGGCUCGGGGGCUCUGGCGCGGGGCGGCGGGCCCAGCGCAGCGGCAGCGGCUGCAGGCACAGGCGGUAGAGGACGCCGUCGUGCACGUCGGGCAGCAGGUAGUCGCGGCAGGAGGCCCCGAGGAGCACGCGCUCGCACGGGAAGCGCGUAUAGGCGCCGCGCCAUGAGCAGUUGAGCGCGAAGGCGCGCACG